CCUACGGGAGGCAGCAGUGAGGAAUAUUGGUCAAUGGACGCAAGUCUGAACCAGCCAUGCCGCGUGAAGGAAGACGGCUCUAUGAGUUGUAAACUUCUUUUGUACGGGAGUAAACGCAGGUACGCGUACCUGUCUGAAAGUAUCCUACGAAUAAGGAUCGGCUAACUCCGUGCCAGCAGCCGCGGUAAUACGGAGGAUUCAAGCGUUAUCCGGAUUUAUUGGGUUUAAAGGGUGCGUAGGCGGUAGGUUAAGUUAGUGGUGAAAUUCAGAGGCUCAACUUUGGAAUUGCCUUUGAUACUGUUAGGCUGGAGAGCAGUUGAGGUAGGCGGAAUGUGUGGUGUAGCGGUGAAAUGCUUAGAGAUCAUACAGAACACCGAUUGCGAAGGCAGCUUACCAAGCUACUACUGACGUUGAGGCACGAAAGCGUGGGGAGCAAACAGGAUUAGAUACCCUAGUAGUC
rnacentral:rRNA from 1 species